CCACCAACAUUCCCAGUAUCCCAUCCCAUGCUAUGGCUGGGGAAAAGGACUGUUGAAUGGAGAAGCAAGACUUGGACCCAGCCCUGGUGCCAAUGCAGCUCCUUCCUGAUUCCCAAAAUUUCUCCUGCUUAAAUACCCUGUAAUCUAAAAUCAACUCUCUUUGGUUUGAGCUAAAUGGGAAUUUUCCAGUUAAAAUUAAAAAAAAUUAAAUCACGUAAAUGAUGUUAAAAGAGAAAUUUUCUCUCCCCAAAUCACUGGGAAGCCUCUGCAGAACUUUAAUUUCUCUAGCAGAGAAUGGGUUAAUGUUAAAAUGGUGCUGCUCCACUACAAAAUAUGACCAGAAAAAUGUUUCUUGGUAUCAGUGUAAAUAAGAAAGGACACAGGGAAGGGCAGUUCCUGAGCAGGCUGGCCACAGCAGAGGUGGGGGAUGUGCUGUGGGUCAGCACUGCCCCAAUCCUUCCUCAUCCUGUGCCUGUCACAAGCCUGUGAUUGCUGAAUGAGUCAGAAAACCCAAACUGGGGAUAAAAUAACCACUGACCACGGUGACAAAUAUCUGUUAUUCCUCCUGAUGGAACAUCUUUAAAGCUGUCAGACAGCUGGGAAAGCUGUUGUUGCACGGGUGAAGCAGAUUUUAGGGCCAUAUUUCAGAUUCUACUCUCUCUUUUUGCUGUUGUGAACUCCAUUGUCUCUUUUCUGUGUGUUAUAAAAUCCUGAUGAGCUCAGCCCCCACCAUUUGUGCUACUCCCAAACAUUUCUCCUUCUCCUGCUUCUUCCUCAUAGAAGACUGAAGUUAUCUUGCUUAAGUGAAGAUUUAGGUGUGAAAUGGAAGGGGGAUUUUCACAUCUUUAAUAAAUAAAAUCAUUUCUCAGCUAAGAGCUCGCCAGGCAUUGAUUUACAGAGUGAUUUCUCUUCACUCUCUGUUUUUUAUCCUCUUUUCCAAGCAAACAAAGCAACAGAGGGCUCCAGAGUGAAAAUGCCGUGAGGAAUCACAAAUCAAGACUACUCACUUGAACUCAGCCUAAAGUGAAGCUUCAAAAGACCUGGAGGAGAGUGUGGAUUACAAAGGAGUCCCAGCAGAUCUGGGCAUUCAAAGGAGAAGCUUUCCCCUGCUGCUGCCUGACAUCCAGUGUGCAGUGCUGGAGGAGAGCCUGGAAGUUUUCCAGUUAAAUGAUUCCUAAGUUGGUGCAGGGCUGGGUUUGGUCCUGGACUCCAGCAGGAGCCAGUUUACCUUGGUGAGUUUUCCUCCUGCAGGUAAAUAUCAAAGGGUUCUAAUUUAUCAUGGAAUGGUUGGGCUGAGGGAUCCUAAAGCUCAGCCCUGUCCCAAGGGCAGGGACACCUCCCACUGUCCCAGGUGUCCAGCCUGGCCUUGGGCACUGCCAGGGGCCCAGGGCAGCCACAGCUGCUCUGGGAAUUCCAUCCCCACCCUCCCAGGGGACAAUUCCUUCCUAAAAUCCAAUGUAAAGCUUUUCUCUGUCAGUUUAAAUCCUUCCCCCCUUGUCCUCUCCUGACACCUUCCACCAGACCAGGCUUUCCCAAACCCACAUGAACUGGCCUUGAAUUAUGGCACUGCCAAAUAUGGAACCGUGCUUCCUCCUCUUCUUUUUCCUUUUCAGUGACAAAACCAACCCAUUUUUUUCUCUUUCUGCUUUUCCUGCUGGUUUGCUGUCUGUGCUCUGGGAUAUUUCCCCCAUGGAGAAGGACCCUGGGUUGGAGGGAGCCCCACACCCCCCAGAGAUCAGAGUGAAAAAGGGAAGAGAAAGGGUAAAAACAAAAGAGGAGGAAUCAGGUGCAGGUCACAGACCUGGAUUUGGGUGAGGAGCUUCGGAGGCAAGCAGGAGAUGUUACCUGAGGAGCAGUUCAGGAGUUUGAGAAUGAAUUCCAUCUGCAGCCAGAGCCUUGGCUUUCCCCCAGAGCACCUGAGUCACCAGCAAGCAAAGGCUGACAGAAACCAGGGAGCUUCUGUGUUCUGCCCUAGAAUCAUAAAGUUAUGGCAAGAAAACAAAAAGCAAACCAGAAAAGCAGCUGGGAACAACAGUGUUGCUGCAAAGGGGGGCUGCCUGGAAAUAUUCCUGGGGCUGGUUUCCACAAAGAAGCGAAGCUAAAGCUCUGCUGGGUUGUGUUUGGAGGGAAGCUCUCCCUCCCUGCACCCUAAAGCUGAUGUCAAUGUCUCACUUCAGUGGGAAUGUCCCUGGUUCCUCCCUCCUGAGGCUUCAGCCCCUCCCAGCUCAGAGUUUGGGGCUGCAGAAAGGGAAAAUGUCAUUUAAUCCAUCAAGGAGAGCGGAAUGGAGCGCUCCUGGUGCCAUAAGUAAGAUAUUUCCUGCUGCCUGGGUGUGUUAUGGGUCACUCCCUGCUGGUUCCUCCUGCACGUUCCCCAUCCUGGCCUGGGGUUUGGUGGCUGUUCCAGGGAACUCUUCACCUGAAUCAGGUGUGAGGUACCUGACACUGCUUCAGCAGGAGAGGAACACACUGCCCUGGGCACCUGCAGCUGCAGAAAGACAGCCCUGUAAAAUGUUCUCCACUUCCCCAGGAAUAUUUCACAUUUCCAUUGGUAUCAGAGACGCUCUUUUGGCUCUGGGAUCUUUGGGGUUUUUGGCUGUUUGAAGGCUGGGCGUUGCAGUGGUGGCUCAGUUUGUGUUAUGAAGGAACAGUGCUCCAGCAAACCACGUGUCCUAAAACCCUUAAUAAUUCCUUUUGUAGCUGUCAGAGCCUGCCAGGCCCGUGGUGUCCAAACAAAGAGCUCAUUGCUCUCCUGGAAGGCUCUUUAGGAAGCCAUUCUGAUGGGUUAUCCAGCAAAGUGCUGCUAUUACUGAGGGUGAUGCUUCAUCCUUCGCUCAGCGAGCCUUCCUGGAAAGCAAAAUAAAUGAACUGCUCAAGGUGUGGGGUUUGUUCAGAGAAAAAUAAAACAACAGUGGCAGAAAAACAUAAAAACAGCUCAAAGCUUGUGCUGCCUCAGAGCAGAGAGAGGCUCUUAACUCAUCCCAAACCUCUGUGCAUCAGCUGUGGCAGAGUUUGACUCUGGAAGAGGCAGGAUGAAGGGUGGGCAGGGCCAGCCUGGCCCUGCAGGAAGAGGGAAAGAGAACUGGAUGUAUUUCCAGAGCUGUGGAUACGGUCUGUGUCUCCUGUUCUGCCCCAGGGAGACAGCAGAUGGCUGGCAAGGGCAGGAGGAGGUUGGAGGGCUCCCUCCAAGGCUUGGCAGCGCUGUCUGGGAGGAUUUGUGAGGAAUUCAUUCCUGUGGGAAGAAGGAACAGGGCAGAUUUACCCCCUUGGCACAGCCUGUGCCCUGGAGCAGGGCAUGGCCAGGGCAGGAGGGGGCUGAUGCUCCCGUUACAGAGUUUGUGUGUGCCAGAAGGCAGGGAGUGAGCCACUGCUGCCCUGACAAGGGCAGUAAGUGUCAAAGAUCAGUUCCUCUCGUUGGACAGACACAGACACUGCCUUCAGCCAAAGCAGACAGGAACGGCUUUUCCAAGAGAGCCCAGGAAUUCCAUCUCUGCUGAGUGCCAAAGGC